rnacentral:rRNA from 1 species
GACGAACGCUGGCGGCGUGCUUAACACAUGCAAGUCGAACGGAAGGGCCCUGCUUUUGUGGGGUGCUCGAGUGGCGAACGGGUGAGUAACACGUGAGUAACCUGCCCUUGACUUUGGGAUAACUUCAGGAAACUGGGGCUAAUACCGGAUAGGAGCUCCUGUUGCAUGGUGGGGGUUGGAAAGUUUCGGCGGUUGGGGAUGGACUCGCGGCUUAUCAGCUUGUUGGUGGGGUAGUGGCUUACCAAGGCUUUGACGGGUAGCCGGCCUGAGAGGGUGACCGGCCACAUUGGGACUGAGAUACGGCCCAGACUCCUACGGGGGGCAGCAGUGGGGAAUAUUGCACAAUGGGCGGAAGCCUGAUGCAGCAACGCCGCGUGCGGGAUGACGGCCUUCGGGUUGUAAACCGCUUUCGCCUGUGACGAAGCGUGAGUGACGGUAAUGGGUAAAGAAGCACCGGCUAACUACGUG